GCCAGUGUGGUGUAGUGGUUUGGAUGUUGGACUAAAACUCUGGAGACCAGGGUUCGAUUCCCAGCUUGGCCA